rnacentral:siRNA from 1 species
AAAUGGUCAUUAAAAUUUAAAG